rnacentral:rRNA from 1 species
CCUACGGGUGGCAGCAGUGGGGGAUAUUGCACAAUGGGGGGAACCCUGAUGCAGCGACGCCGCGUGGGUGAAGGAGCGUUUCGGCUCGUAAAGCCCUAUCGGCAGGGAAGAAGGAGGACGGUACCUGACUAAGAAGCCCCGGCUAACUACGUGCCAGCAGCCGCGGUAAUACGUAGGGGGCAAGCGUUAUCCGGAAUUACUGGGUGUAAAGGGGGCGCAGACGGCAGGGCAAGCCAGGAGUGAAAACCCGGGGCCCAACCCCGGGACUGCUCUUGAAACUGGGCGGCUGGAGUGAAGGAGGGGCAGGCGGAAUUCCUGGUGUAGCGGUGAAAUGCGUAGAUAUCAGGAGGAACACCGGUGGCGAAGGCGGCAUGCUGGACUGCGACUGACGUUGAGGCACGAAAGCGUGGGGAGCAAACAGGAUUAGAUACCCCAGUAGUC